rnacentral:lncRNA from 1 species
CCACACCCGAUUUUGACCCUGUUGACCACCCUUAUAAAUUGAGAGAGAGAGAGAGAAAGGAAAGAGAGAAGACAAGAGAGAGAGAGGAGAAACCGAACCGGAUCCAACCCGACCCGCGAGCGCGAACUGGCCGGUUCUCCCAUUUUCGGCCAUCGUUCCGGUCAAGGGUGGUACCGAUUUGAAGCUUGAGAGACGACCAACGUAUCCAUGUCGUUUCCUUGAUUAGGAGGAUCCGCGAACGAGAAUCAACCCGCGGACGUUGUUGAUACCGACUCUGGACUUCGUCACUGUGAAUGGAAUAUACAAAACUUAUUUUCAUAGAUUGUAAAAUGAUUAUUAUUUUUAUUUUUUAAGCAUCUAUCAGUAAGAUACGCCCUGUAGAGGAAUACGCCCUGUAGAGGUCGGGGCGGGUCGUUACAAGUUAAUACAUUAGUUAAAUAUACAAUUUAAAUACAAUAUAUAUUAAAAUAGAUAUAAUUAUUUGUGGGACAUAUUUUACAAUAACACUUGGUUGCGAACUUCGUUGAAGUUCUCUUUCAAGCAAUUCAAAUUUAAGAGACAAGCAUUCCAUUUGAUGCCCUAGCUUGUGCACAUCUCCUAGUAAGAGAUCAAUUUUAUUCUCACUCAUAUUUCAAUCUUCCACCCCUCGAAACUCAUUAGAUUCACUAUUCCUCUAAUCGUCGUCCCAUUCAAAUGCCCCACAUCCUUUGCACUUCCAAAGCUUACGAUUCAGAUUCUCUCUUGUACGUGAAGUUUGUAAGAUCUUAUCAUUGUAGCACUUUUCACAAGUUUUUAUAUGUGGAUUUGGAACUUCACUCAUGCUAGAGGACAUUGUGAUAGAAAUAUCCAACCAAUUUAAGCAACUGAAAAAGGGAAAAAAAUAGCCAUAAUAGUUAGUGAGCCUUAAGUAGCUGGAGGGGGAAAAAAAGAACACACCAGCUACUAAUUAAUUCCACAAGAAAAAAUGGCCACGAUUUUUAGUAGGCAUUAAGCAACUGAAGGUGGAAAAAAUAAUUGGACAGAACAGUUAGUAACAAUACUUGCCCGAGAACUAACAACCACAACAGUUAGUUUUUUAUAUGUAAACUUUAUUUUUUGUAAUUUUCCUAAACCUUCCCCUAAUCAUUUCUGUAUUUUCGUAAAGUUUUCCCUAAUCAUCUCGCCAUAUUCAAUCCAAACCUCUGACCGAUAAAUUUACAUUUCCAAUCACUUAAACCCCUGAAAUAUGCUUUCGCAUUUGUAACCAAAUCAAAUUGGCUACAAGCAAUUAUUCCAAGCACAUUAAGUCAACUAAAUGCAUUCACAAGCCAUUAUCACCAUUCAAACAAAGUACACAACCACUACAUCUGAGGUUAACUACCUGAAUGAAAAUGAAAAAAGCCAACUACCUAAAGCACACAGCCACUUCACGAAUUGGAAUGGUGACCACAAAUUUCUUAAGCAAAAUCUGAAUGAUUAGAAUGAAUUCCUAAAUAACAAUAACCAAUAGUCGAAAUAGGGCAAAAUAAAUGAAUUCGUUCAACAUCCAAAGCUAAUAUCAGUACAACCUAAAAUCACUACACCCUCAACAAUAACAAUAACCAUUCAAAAUCCAAGUGGCCUAAGAAGCAUACUAAUUAAUCUUCAAUUAAUCCAAGUGGCUGCAUCUUUAAUAAAGCAAUAAAUUGAACACUGACCUUAACAAGCCAUGUUAAGCCGAUUGUGUUGGGGGAGAGAGAGCGUUGUAGCUGAGAUCGAGAGAGUGAGGGAGAACAGAGCCACCGAGAAUGAGCGCGAACGGAGCCGAGAGAGUGUGGUAAAAUAGAUCCAGCGAGAAUGAGGGAGCACGAAGUCGAGAGAGUGAGGGAGAAUGGCGUCGAGAGAAUGAAGGAGAACGGAGCUGAGACUAACGGGAUAAGCUACUGGGAUUUGUUGUGUUGACAGAUCGAAAUACGAGUACGCUGCUGUGUGGUUCUCGUUUUGUGUUGUUUUCCAUUGCUGUGAAAGAAGGGAGACGCGAGUGGGAAAAUGAUGCUCUGAAUUGGCGUGCGUGUGAUGUUCGAAAAACAAACAUGUGAUUUUCCUUUUAAAGCUUGCACAAAACGCAUCGUUUUGUGCAAAC